CAAUAGCGUAUAUUAAAGUUGUUGCGGUUAAAAAGCUCGUAGUUGGAUUUCUGCUGAGAACGACCGGUCCGCCCUCUGGGUGUGUAUCUGGCUCUUUCUUGGCAUCUUCUUGGUGAACGUUGCUGCACUUGACUGUGUGGAGCGCUACCCAGGACUUUUACUUUGAGGAAAUUAGAGUGUUUCAAGCAGGCAUACGCCUUGAAUACAUUAGCAUGGAAUAAUAAGAUAGGACCUCGGUUCUAUUUUGUUGGUUUCUAGAACUUAGGUAAUGAUUAAUAGGGACAAUUGGGGGCAUUUGUAUUAACACGUCAGAGGUGGAAUUCUUGGAUUGUGUUACGACAAACUACUGCGAAAGCAUUUGCCAAGGAUGUUUUCAUUGA
rnacentral:rRNA from 1 species